GUCCUUUAGAAAUUAAUUUAAGGUCUAACCUGCCCACUGAUUUUUUAAAUGGCCGCAGUAAUUUGACUGUGCAAAGGUAGCAUAAUCAUUAGUUUUUUAAUUAAAAGCUUGUAUGAAAGGUUGGACGAAGUAAAAUCUGUCUCUAAUUAAAUUAAUUUAGAAUUUAACUUUUAAGUCAAAAGGCUUAAAUAUUUUUAAAAGACGAGAAGACCCUAUAGAUCUUUAUAAUUUUAUUUAUUAAAUUUAAUUAUGAAUUUUUAAAAUUUUAAUAAUAAAAUUAUUUUAUUGGGGUAAUAUAAAGAUUAAAAUAAUUCUUUUUUUUUAUUAACAUUGAUUUAUGAUUUUUAUGAUCCAAUUAUAUUGAUUUAAAGAUUAAGUUACCUUAGGGAUAACAGCGUAAUUUUUUUAGAGAGUUCUUAUCGAUAAAAAAGUUUGCGACCUCGAUGUUGGAUUAAAGAUUAUUUUAGGUGCAGAAGUUUAAAAAUUUGGUCUGUUCGACCAUUAAAUCUUUACAUGAUCUGAGUUCAGACCGGUGUAAGCCAGGUCGGUUUCUAUCUUUAGUAAAUUAAAAUAUUUUAGUACGAAAGGACCAAUUAUUUGAUAUAUUAAUAUUUAUAUUUUGAUUAUUAUUAA
rnacentral:rRNA from 1 species